rnacentral:rRNA from 1 species
GAAACGACUGCUAAGACUGGAUAGGAGAUAAGAAGGCAUCUUCUUAUUUUUAAAAGACCUAGCAAUAGGUAUGCUUAGGGAAGAGCUUGCGUUACAUUAGUUAGUUGGUGGGGUAAUGGCCUACCAAGACGAUGAUGUGUAGCCGGGCUGAGAGGUCGAACGGCCACAUUGGGACUGAGACACGGCCCAAACUCCUACGGGAGGCAGCAGUAAGGAAUUUUCGGCAAUGGAGGAAACUCUGACCGAGCAAUGCCGCGUGAACGAUGAAGUAUUUCGGUACGUAAAGUUCUUUUAUUAGGGAAGAAAAGAUGGUGGAAAAACCAUUAUGACGGUACCUAAUGAAUAAGCCCCGGCUAACUAUGUGCCAGCAGCCGCGGUAAUACAUAGGGGGCAAGCGUUAUCCGGAAUUAUUGGGCGUAAAGGGUGCGUAGGCGGUUAAAUAAGUUUAUGGUCUAAGUGCAACGCUCAACGUUGUGAUGCUAUAAAAACUGUUUAGCUAGAGUUGGAUAGAGGCAAGUGGAAUUCCGUGUGUAGUGGUAAAAUGCGUAAAUAUACGGAGGAACACCAGAAGCGAAGGCGGCUUGCUGGGUCUUAACUGACGCUGAGGCACGAAAGCGUGGGGAGCAAACAGGAUUAGAUACCCUGGUAGUCCACGCCCUAAACGAUGAGUACUAAACGUUGGAUAAAACCAGUGUUGAAGUUAACACAUUAAGUACCCCGCCUGAGUAGUACGUACGCAAGUAUGAAACUUAAAGGAAUUGACGGGACUCCGCACAAGCGGUGGAUCAUGUUGUUUAAUUCGAAGGUACCCGAAAAACCUCACCAGGUCUUGACAUGCUUUUGCAAAGCUGUAGAAAUACAGUGGAGGUUAUCAGAAGCACAGGUGGUGCAUGGUUGUCGUCAGCUCGUGUCGUGAGAUGUUGGGUUAAGUCCCGCAACGAGCGCAACCCUUGUUGUUAAUUGCCAUCAUUAAGUUGGGGACUUUAGCAAGACUGCCAAUGAUAAAUUGGAGGAAGGUGGGGACGACGUCAAAUCAUCAUGCCCCUUAUGACCUGGGCUACAAACGUGAUACAAUGGCUGUUACAAAGGGUAGCUAAAGCGUAAGCUUCUGGCGAAUCUCAAAAAAGCAGUCUCAGUUCGGAUUGAAGUCUGCAACUCGACUUCAUGAAGUUGGAAUCGCUAGUAAUCGCGAAUCAGCAUGUCGCGGUGAAUACGUUCGCGGGGUUUGUACACACCGCCCGUCA